rnacentral:rRNA from 1 species
ACGGUACCCGCAGAAUAAGCACCGGCUAACUACGUGCCAGCAGCCGCGGUAAUACGUAGGGUGCGAGCGUUAAUCGGAAUUACUGGGCGUAAAGCGUGCGCAGGCGGUUCUGUAAGACGGAUGUGAAAGCCCCGGGCUCAACCUGGGAACUGCAUUCGUGACUGCAGGGCUAGAGUGUGUCAGAGGGAGGUGGAAUUCCGCGUGUAGCAGUGAAAUGCGUAGAGAUGCGGAGGAACACCGAUGGCGAAGGCAGCCUCCUGGGAUAACACUGACGCUCAUGCACGAAAGCGUGGGGAGCAAACAGGAUUAGAUACCCUGGUAGUCCACGCCCUAAACGAUGUCAACUAGUUGUCGGGUCUUAAUUGACUUGGUAACGCAGCUAACGCGUGAAGUUGACCGCCUGGGGAGUACGGCCGCAAGGUUAAAACUCAAAGGAAUUGACGGGGACCCGCACAAGCGGUGGAUGAUGUGGAUUAAUUCGAUGCAACGCGAAAAACCUUACCUACGUUUGACAUGCCAGGAAGGCCGGAGAGAUCUGGUCGUGCCCGAAAG